GAUGAACGCUGACAGAAUGCUUAACACAUGCAAGUCUACUUGAAUUUGGGUUUUUUAACUUAGAUUUGGGUGGCGGACGGGUGAGUAACGCGUAAAGAACUUGCCUCACAGCUAGGGACAACAUUUGGAAACGAAUGCUAAUACCUGAUAUUAUGAUUUUAAGGCAUCUUAGAAUUAUGAAAGCUAUACGCGCUGUGAGAGAGCUUUGCGUCCCAUUAGCUAGUUGGAGAGGUAACGGCUCACCAAGGCGAUGAUGGGUAGCCGGCCUGAGAGGGUGAACGGCCACAAGGGGAGUGAGACACGGCCCUUACUCCUACGGGAGGCAGCAGUGGGGAAUAUUGGACAAUGGACCAAGAGUCUGAUCCAGCAAUUCUGUGUGCACGAUGACGUUUUUCGGAAUGUAAAGUGCUUUCAGUUGGAAGAAAAA
rnacentral:rRNA from 1 species